rnacentral:rRNA from 1 species
UACGAAGGGGGCUAGCGUUGCUCGGAAUUACUGGGCGUAAAGGGAGCGUAGGUGGACUGUUUAGUCAGAGGUGAAAGCCCAGGGCUCAACCUUGGAAUUGCCUUUGAUACUGGCAGUCUUGAGUACGGAAGAGGUAUGUGGAACUCCGAGUGUAGAGGUGAAAUUCGUAGAUAUUCGGAAGAACACCAGUGGCGAAGGCGACAUACUGGUCCGUUACUGACGCUGAGGCUCGAAAGCGUGGGGAGCAAACAGG